UCGAUAACGAACGAGACCUUAACCCUUAAAUAGUCGGCGUUGCCUUUGGCAGCGAUUACGGCUUCUUAGGGGGACUCUCGGCUCAAGCCGGGGGAAGUUUGAGGCAAUAACAGGUCUGUGAUGCCCUUAGAUGUCCUGGGCUGCACGCGCGCUACACUGACACAGCCAGCGAGUUUUUCCUUGGCCGAGAGGCCUGGGUAAUCUUGGUAAACUGUGUCGUGCUGGGGAUAGAGCAUUGCAACUUUUGCUCUUGAACGAGGAAUACCUCGUAAGCGCGAUUCAUCAGAUCGCGUUGAAUAUGUCCCUGCCCUUUGUACACACCGCCCGUCGCUAAUACCGAUUGAAUGGAUA
rnacentral:rRNA from 1 species